rnacentral:rRNA from 1 species
AUUGAACGCUGGCGGCAUGCUUUACACAUGCAAGUCGAACGGUAACAGGCCGCAAGGUGCUGACGAGUGGCGAACGGGUGAGUAAUGCAUCGGAACGUGCCCAGUCGUGGGGGAUAACUACUCGAAAGAGUAGCUAAUACCGCAUACGAUCUAUGGAUGAAAGCGGGGGACCGUAAGGCCUCGCGCGAUUGGAGCGGCCGAUGUCAGAUUAGGUAGUUGGUGGGGUAAAGGCUCACCAAGCCAACGAUCUGUAGCUGGUCUGAGAGGACGACAAGCCACACGGGAACUGAGACACGGCCCGGACGCCUGGGGGAGGCAGCAGUGGGAAAUUUUGGAAAAUGGGGGCAAGCCUGAUCCAGCAAUGCGGCGUGAAGGAAGAAGGCCUUGGGGUUGUAAACUGUUUUUGUGGGGAACAAAAGGGCUCUGUUUAAUCCCGGGGGAUAAUGACGGUACCGAAAAAAUAAGCCCCGGCUAACUACGUG